rnacentral:rRNA from 1 species
UACGAAGGGGGCUAGCGUUGCUCGGAUUGACUGGGCGUAAAGGGCGCGUAGGCGGUUCGUACAGUCAGACGUGAAAUUCCUGGGCUCAACCUGGGGGCUGCGUUUGAUACGUGCGGACUUGAGUGCGGAAGAGGGUCGUGGAAUUCCCAGUGUAGAGGUGAAAUUCGUAGAUAUUGGGAAGAACACCAGUGGCGAAGGCGGCUCACUGGACCGGCAUUGACGCUGAGGUGCGAAAGCGUGGGGAGCAAACAGG